AGGGGCGUAGCUCAGUCUGGUCAGAGCGUCGGUCUCCAAAACCGAAUGCCGAGGGUUCGAAUCCUUCCGCCCCUGCCA
rnacentral:tRNA from 2 species